AUUGAACGCUGGCGGAAUGCUUUACACAUGCAAGUCGAACGGCAGCACGGACUUCGGUCUGGUGGCGAGUGGCGAACGGGUGAGUAAUAUAUCGGAACGUGCCCAGUCGUGGGGGAUAACGUAGCGAAAGUUACGCUAAUACCGCAUACGAUCUAUGGAUGAAAGCGGGGGAUCGCAAGACCUCGCGCGAUUGGAGCGGCCGAUAUCAGAUUAGGUAGUUGGUGGGGUAAAGGCUCACCAAGCCAACGAUCUGUAGCUGGUCUGAGAGGACGACCAGCCAAACUGGAACUGAGACACGGUCCAGACUCCUACGGGAGGCAGCAGUGGGGAAUUUUGGGCAAUGGACGCAAGUCUGAUUCAGCCAUUCCGCGUGCAGGAUGAAGGCCCUCGGGUUGUAAACUGCUUUUGUACGGAACGAAAAGGUCUCCAUUAAUACUGGGGGCUCAUGACGGUACCGUAAGAAUAAGCACCGGCUAACUACGUGCCAGCAGCCGCCGUAAUAC
rnacentral:rRNA from 1 species